rnacentral:lncRNA from 1 species
UUUCACGGUUGGGUGUAGUUUUGACUGUUUGGAUGCAGAAUUGAGUGAUAUUGGAGCAUGGAGUGUAAGGAACAUGUUGAAGAGAAGAGUUUUGAGAGAAUCGAGCCCAAAAAUCAAGAAAAGACGAAGAUUCUGGACUCGGGAUGGAAAAUGAGUAACUCGGCGGUCAAAGGGCGUUGACCGCCGAAUUUUGGAGUUUUAAAGGGUGAAUUCGGCGACCAAGACGGCGAUCGCCGGCCAGGUCGCCGAAAAUCCUGACUGAAAAUUGGCCUAUGGUGGAAAAAAACGGCGGUCGCCGUUUUCAUGUGUAAUUUGGGCCAUUUUCGGCGAUCAAUUCGGCGACCGCCGAACGGGUCGCCGAAUUGACCGCGUGUUUUGUUUUCUUCCGCGUUUUUACAUUUUUUCAAGUUAUUUUCGGUUUAGAACUUGGUUUUUCACCCUAAGACUAUAAAUAGGUCCUCUUUAGACCUAUCUAGGGUUCCCAGCUUUAGUUUUUCAGUUCCCAACAUUCAUAUUUCAGUUUUAUAGCUUUAGAAUAUUUUAGCUUUCCAGUUUUCAAGGCUUGGAUCAAGAUUGAAGAUUCAAGCCGCUACAAUCGUUUUAAUUCGGU